rnacentral:lncRNA from 1 species
CUUAGAACAAGCCCCAGCUGCCAAAAUCAACUGUAAAGUCUUGAUAUUCUCAGCCUUCAUUUGAAAAGACAGAGAAGACGAAAUCAAAUAAUUAAAGUGUGCACUGUAGUGAAGGAAAGUUUGCAUGAACAAACGUCCCCUGUGGGCAGAUAGGCCAGCAUUUUGUAAAGCUGUUAUUUUAGGCUAAGCUUGCAAUCCUCUCAGAAGAAGAUUUCUCAUUUCUUUGUGGGAAGAGCAGUACAGCUAGCAGGGCAGUCGUUACUUGGAGAGCAGUCCAGUCUCCUCUGCUUAGAAAUGGAGCUUUGGCACUGGCACAUGCAGAUGCAGCUGGAUCUCUACCACCUUUUUCACUAGAAGAAAUACGCCACUUCUUGGGUGAUAGAAGUAAGUGGCACGAAGAACUCAGUGGUCCUCCACAGCUGUCUGAUUUGGCUUUCACUACUGAGCU